CGGGAAGUAGCUCAGCUUGGUAGAGCACUUGGUUUGGGACCAAGGGGUCGCAGGUUCGAAUCCUGUCUUCCGACCA
rnacentral:tRNA from 1 species